GAGAGUGGCGAACGGGUGAGUAACACGUAGGUAAUCUACCUUUGGGUGGGGGAUAGCCCAUGGAAACAUGGGGUAAUACCGCAUGAUGCCGUAAGGUUAAAGGAGCAAUUGUUCCGCCUGAGGAUGAGCCUGCGGUCCAUUAGUUAGUUGGUGAGGUAAGAGCUCUACCAAGGCGACGAUGGAUAGCCGGCCUGAGAGGGUGAACGGCCACACUGGGACUGAGACACGGCCCAG
rnacentral:rRNA from 1 species